UACGGAGGGUGCAAGCGUUAUCCGGAUUCACUGGGCUUAAAGGGUGCGUAGGCGGACAGGUAAGUCAGUGGUGAAAUCUCUGGGCUUAACUCAGAAACUGCCGUUGAUACUAUUUGCCUUGAAUAUCAUGGAGGUAAGCGGAAUAUGUCAUGUAGCGGUGAAAUGCUUAGAUAUGACAUAGAACACCAAUAGCGAAGGCAGCUUACUACAUGGAGAUUGACACUGAGGCACGAAAGCGUGGGGAUCAAACAGG
rnacentral:rRNA from 1 species